rnacentral:tRNA from 1 species
GCGCCCGUAGCUCAACGGAUAGAGCAUUUGACUACGGAUCAAAAGGUUAGGGGUUCGAAUCCCUUCGGGCGCGC